rnacentral:rRNA from 1 species
CAGCCGCCGCGGUAAUACGUAGGUGGCAAGCGUUGUCCGGAAUUAUUGGGCGUAAAGGGCUCGCAGGCGGUUUCUUAAGUCUGAUGUGAAAGCCCCCGGCUCAACCGGGGAGGGUCAUUGGAAACUGGGAAACUUGAGUGCAGAAGAGGAGAGUGGAAUUCCACGUGUAGCGGUGAAAUGCGUAGAGAUGUGGAGGAACACCAGUGGCGAAGGCGACUCUCUGGUCUGUAACUGACGCUGAGGAGCGAAAGCGUGGGGAGCGAACAGGAUUAGAUACCCGUGAGUCCCUGUCUCUUAUACA